AUGGCUGCUUGGCCGCGGGACCUGUGGAACAAUUGGUCCAUCCAAAUCCUGGUGCUCCUCAGCCUCGUGCUCCAAGUGGCCCUCUUUCUCUUCGCCGGGAUCCGCCGGCGUGGAGCGCACCCCGUGCUCCGCUUCCUGCUCUGGCUGGCGUACCAGCUGUCCGACUACACGGCGACCUACGCACUCGGCCACCUCUCCUUCAAGGGCGCGCCGCGUGAUCACCCGAUCGUGGCCUUCUGGGCGCCGUUCUUGCUGCUGCACCUGGGAGGCCCCGACAACAUCACCGCCUACUCCCUGGAGGACAACAAGCUCUGGAAGCGCCACCUGCUGCACGCCACCCUUCAGGUCUUGGGAGCCGUGUACGUGCUCUACGAGCACGUCGCGGACAAGGGGGCUUUGCUCCGGCUUGCCUCCGCCUUGAUGUUCACCGUCGGCGCCGUCAAGUACGGGGAGAAGACAUGGGCGCUCAUGCGCGGCAAUCUCGACACCAUCCGAGGCUCCGUCAAGAAGCAGCCACCCGCCAUGCACCGGCAUUUCCACCCUCGCGACACAGUGUUCAACAAGGAAGAGCUGGACGAGGAAUCCCUGGUGCGACGAGCUCACUCGCUGUUCCACAUCUGCAAGCGCGCCAUAGUCGAUUAUCCAGUGAUCGAAGAUGACGCGGCGGAUGGAGAAGAACGCACCACCAAAAUGCUGUUCCGGGUGAAGCUAUGGCGGCUGAUGGAAACCGAGCUGUCUCUCAUGUAUGACAUGUUGUACACCAAGGCGCCGGUUAUCCACACCUGGUUCGGCUACUCGGUACGUAUUUUCUCGCCGUUCGCCAUUGGCGCCUCGCUCCUCUUGUUUAACCUCGUCGGCAAGCACGCACACCGCGGAGCUGACGUGAAUAUCACCUACGUCCUGUAUGGUGGCGCCUUGCUCAUGGAGACCAUGUCGCUGCUGAACGCGCUAGGCUCCUCCUGGACGUUCGCCUUCCUGAGCACCACUAAAUGGCGAUGGCUUCGGUACACGGCUCUGUGCAACGAGAGGUGGGACCAAUUUAGGCGUCUAGUCGCAUAUCUUCACCAUGUCGUGAGUGUUGGAGGAGGAAGCCGGUACAGAUCAAGAAGGUGGUCACGUACCAUGGGGCAGUACAACAUGCUGCACUUCUGCACACGCUCUGGUAGUGCAUUCACCAGGCCUCUGCUGGGCAGAUUGUCCAAAAUAGUGGGGCUGGGACUCAACGAGUGGGAGCAUUACUCAUGGGACAUCGAGAUGCCCAGCCAUGUCAAGGAUCGAAUCACCCAACAUAUGCGCAACAUGUACAUGGAAGGGGAAGGGAUUAACUCGCUGGGAAUCCUCAGGACAAGGUGGGGCGAGGAACCACUGCUUCGCCAGGGCUUACUCCAAGGCAUACUCAAGGACUCUCUUGGUGUCGAAUUCCAGGAGUGCAUCAUCAUCUGGCACCUCGGUACCGACGUCUUCCUCGUCAAGAGCAAGCGGGCGGCCGAGGAGGAGGCGUCACUCGACGUCGAGGCGAUCAAGGUGAUCUCCAACUACAUGAUGUUCCUCCUCGUGCAACAGCCUGACAUGCUACCAGGGCUCUCGCAGAAUAGGCUGUAUCAACGGACCUGCGAAAACCUAGUCAACAUUCCUAGCCAUAGGCGCCAAAGCACGGGCAUCUGUGCUAAGCUCAAGAAUCUACUCCGCCUGCACGAUGAUCCUGGUUCUAGUGCCAGGGUCGCCGACAGAGAGGAGCUUGCAAAGAUCCUGUAUGAUGAGUAUAAGAGCAAAGGUUUCAGCCAUGAUGCUCCUCGUCUCCCCUAUGUAGCUAAGCUUGCAAAGCAGCUGCUGACGAUGGAGGUAGAUGGCACGGCUGACUCGGUGAAACUUGUCCUUGAUGUGUGGACGGACAUUCUUUUCUACGCCAGCAACAAAUGCAGCAGGAAGGCCCAUGCCGAGAAGCUCAGCAGUGGCGGUGAGUUGACGACCAUCCUCUGGCUUAUGGCAGAACAUUUCUACCAAUUGUAUUGUGAGAAAAAUAUGAAAGAAGAGAAGGAUCAGUUAGCUUUACAAGGACAGGCAUUAGCUAAUAUUCAGGCAGGGAGAUGA
rnacentral:rRNA from 1 species